rnacentral:misc_RNA from 1 species
AAUUCUCAAAACCCCUUCCUUUGCCGGAAUGGAUUUUGGACUUGGAGGCCUUUUGCUGGUUUCGCCUCGAAGCCAGCUCCUCCUAAAUGGAUUAGUGGGGUCUGCUUUGCCGAUCCUUGACAUGAUAAGAUGCUUCUACGUCUCGGGGUUAUUGGCACUGUGCCUCUGCUUCUAACCGUCUCUUUUGACAACGAUGGUGUUCCGGUCACCGCCGAUUCUUCGGUGGGAGGCUUGACCCACAAAACGA